rnacentral:rRNA from 1 species
UCUGCUCAAUGNUUUUUUAAAUUGCUGUGGUAUUUUGACUAUACAAAGGUAUUGAAAUAAGAUUUUAAUUGAAUGCUAAGAGAAUGGAAAUACAGGGAAAAACUUUUUUUUAAAUUAAAAAUUGAAAUUUUUUUAAUUUGUGCAGAAACAAUUAUUAAUAUUAAGGACAAGAAGACCCUAUGAAUUUAUUAAAUUUUAUUUAAUAUGUAAUUACUAUUAGAAAAAUUUUGGCUGGGGCGGCUAAAAAAUAUUUUAAACUUUUUAAAAAUAAAAUGAUCCAUUAUUAAUGAUUAUAUGUUAAAUACUCUAGGGAUAACAGC